rnacentral:rRNA from 1 species
GACGAACGCUGGCGGCGUGCCUAAUACAUGCAAGUAGAACGCACAGUUUAUACCGUAGCUUGCUACACCAUAAACUGUGAGUUGCGAACGGGUGAGUAACGCGUAGGUAACCUGCCUGGUAGCGGGGGAUAACUAUUGGAAACGUUAGCUAAUACCGCAUAAUAUUGAUUAUUGCAUGAUAAUUGAUUGAAAGAUGCUAUUGCAUCACUACCAGAUGGACCUGCGUUGUAUUAGCUAGUAGGUGAGGUAACGGCUCACCUAGGCGACGAUACAUAGCCGACCUGAGAGGGUGAUCGGCCACACUGGGACUGAGACACGGCCCAGACUCCUACGGGAGGCAGCAGUAGGGAAUCUUCGGCAAUGGACGAAAGUCUGACCGAGCAACGCCGCGUGAGUGAAGAAGGUUUUCGGAUCGUAAAGCUCUGUUGUAAGAGAAGAACGGGUGUGAGAGUGGAAAGUUCACACUGUGACGGUAUCUUACCAGAAAGGGACGGCUAACUACGUG